rnacentral:rRNA from 1 species
GCGAGGACCAUCUCGCAAGGCUAAAUACUAACCAGUGACCGAUAGUGAACCAGUACCGUGAGGGAAAGGUGAAAAGAACCCCGGGAGGGGAGUGAAAGAGAACCUGAAACCGUGUGCCUACAAGUAGUCAGAGCACGUUAAAGUGUGAUGGCGUGCCUUUUGUAGAAUGAACCGGCGAGUUGCGUUGUGGUGCAAGGUUAAGUCAGAAAAGACGGAGCCGAAGCGAAAGCGAGUCUGAAGAGGGCGAGAUAGUAUCAUGACGCAGACCCGAAACCAAGUGACCUACCCAUGACCAGGUUGAAGGCGUGGUAAAACACGCUGGAGGACCGAACCCACGCAAGUUGAAAAUUGCGGGGAUGAGUUGUGGGUAGCGGUGAAAUUCCAAACGAACUUGGAGAUAGCUGGUUCUCUCCGAAAUAGCUUUAGGGCUAGCCUCGUGUGAAUGAUAAUGGAGGUAGAGCACUGUUUGGACUAGGGGCCCGUCAGGGGUUACUGAAUCCAGAUAAACUCCGAAUGCCAGAUAUCAAUGCACGGGAGUCAGACUGCGAGUGAUAAGAUCCGUAGUCGAAAGGGAAACAGCCCAGAUCACCGGUUAAGGUCCCAAAAUCUAUGCUAAGUGGAAAAGGAUGUGGAGUUGCACAGACAACUAGGAUGUUGGCUCAGAAGCAGCCACCAUUUAAAGAGUGCGUAAUAGCUCACUAGUCGAGUGACGCUGCGCCGAAAAUUUACCGGGGCUAAGCAUAGUACCGAAACCGUGGAUGCAGUUAGCUGCGUGGUAGGAGAGCGUUCUAAAGGCGGAGAAGGCAGAUCGAGAGGACUGUUGGAGCGUUUAGAAGUGAGAAUGCCGGUAUAAGUAGCGAAAGACAGGUGAGAAUCCUGUCCGCCGAAAGACUAAGGUUUCCUGGGGCAGGCUCGUCCGCCCAGGGUAAGUCGGGACCUAAGGUAAGGCCGAGAGGCGUAGCCGAUGGACAACAGGUAGAUAUUCCUGUACUAUUCGUAAUCGAUAAGAGCGAAGGAGGGACGCAGGAGGCUAAUGACGCAUGGAGAUGGAAUCAUGUGUAAGCGUUAAGGGAGGAUACGAGUCAAAUGCUUGUAGCCAAUUUUGAGACGUGAUGCGGAGUGAAAUCAAAGUAGCGAAGGUCAUGAAGUCACACUGCCAAGAAAAGCUUCUAGCCAGAGAGCGAGUACCCGUACCGCAAACCGACACAGGUAGUCGAGGAGAGAAUCCUCAGGUGAGCGAGAGAACUCUCGUUAAGGAACUCGGCAAAAUAACCCCGUAACUUAGGGAGAAGGGGUGCUGAAGAGAAAUCAGCCGCAGUGAAGAGGCCCAAACAACUGUUUAUCAAAAACACAGGUAUCUGCAAAAUCGUAAGAUGACGUAUAGGUACUGACACCUGCCCGGUGCUGGAAGGUUAAGAGGAUAGCUUAGCGAAAGCGAAGGUUAGAAUUGAAGCCCCAGUAAACGGCGGCCGUAACUAUAACGGUCCUAAGGUAGCGAAAUUCCUUGUCGGGUAAGUUCCGACCUGCACGAAAGGUGUAAUGAUUUGGGCACUGUCUCAACGAGAGACUCGGUGAAAUUAUAAUACCCGUGAAGAUGCGGGUUACCCGCGACAGGACGGAAAGACCCCAUGGAGCUUUACUGUAGCUUGAUAUUGAGUAUUUGUUAAACAUGUACAGGAUAGGUAGGAGCCAGAGAAGAUAGGACGCCAGUUUUAUCAGAGGCAAUGUUGGGAUACUACCCUUGUUUGAUGGAUCCUCUAACUCGUCACACUAAGCGUGUGAGAGGACAGUGUCAGGUGGGCAGUUUGACUGGGGCGGUCGCCUCCUAAAGAGUAACGGAGGCGCCCAAAGGUUCCCUCAGAAUGGUUGGAAAUCAUUCGCAGAGUGUAAAGGUAGAAGGGAGCUUGACUGCGAGAGAGACAACUCGAGCAGGUACGAAAGUAGGGCUUAGUGAUCUGGUGGUACUGCAUGGAAAGGCCAUCACUCAACGGAUAAAAGCUACCCUGGGGAUAACAGGCUUAUCUCCCCCAAGAGUUCACAUCGACGGGGAGGUUUGGCACCUCGAUGUCGGCUCGUCGCAUCCUGGGGCUGAAGUCGGUCCCAAGGGUUGGGCUGUUCGCCCAUUAAAGCGGCACGCGAGCUGGGUUCAGAACGUCGUGAGACAGUUCGGUCCCUAUCCGUCGUGGGCGUAGGAAAUUUGAGAGGAGCUGUCCUUAGUACGAGAGGACCGGGAUGGACAUACCGCUGGUGUACCAGUUGUCUUGCCAAAGGCACCGCUGGGUAGCUAUGUAUGGAAGGGAUAAGCGCUGAAAGCAUCUAAGUGCGAAGCCCCCCUCAAGAUGAGAUUUC